rnacentral:tRNA from 1 species
AGGGCGUUGGUGUUUAACGGGAGCAUCGCGGACUCCAAAUCCGCUGGUGGGGGUUCGAAUCCCUCACGCCCUG